GCUGCUGUAGCUCAGGGGUAGAGCACGUCCUUGGUAAGGACGGGGUCGGAGGUUCGAUUCCUCUCAGCAGCACCA
rnacentral:tRNA from 2 species